AGAAUUUUGGAAUACCCUCUUGUUGUGAGGCACUGAGGCUUUCUUUUUGUUCUGCAUCUGUCUAGCCCCUGCUCGUGUUCUAAUAUCUUAUAAUUAGUAUGCUAUCAAUACUAAACCAAAAAUAUAUUGGUUGCCUUUCUUUUCCCACCAAAAGACCUAUUAUAUUUUGUUCUCUCUCAUUCUCUUUUGUGCUUAUUAGGAAAAAUAUGAUAAACAAUAUGAACACUCAGAGGAGUUCCAGAAAGAGCUCAAAAAAAUCAAGGUUUGUGAACUAUUUACUGAACAAGAAUGGAGGAGAAGAAAAAUGCAAAUGAGAGUAUGCUCUAACUUAAGAAGAAAGGGGUAUUAAUGACUAGUCGAACUAUCUUGUGGUUAUUACUGGUGGAUGGAACAUUAUCAAUAUGGCAUUUGUAGUUUGUGGGAGUACACAAACAUUGUCAUGAAUUUCCUCUCUGGAUCUAGUGAGUUAAAUAGAAGUAAAAGUUUUGCCUGCCUUCAAUAUUUUGAUGUUAUUAUCACUGGCAGAUCUUCAAGUAUUUACAUUCCCUUGAUGUUGAAGAUUUCAAAGAUAUGAAGUUGGGCUACUCAAUCACCUUUGUACCAAGUUGACUAAAACUUUCAUUCUUUGAGGAGGAGGGAACCUCAAAGAUUACUAGAACUACCAUCAAGUGGAAGGAGGUCAUGGGUGUUGUUAAUGGAGUUAACCAUGAGACAAAAAGAAACAAAUGCGCACUUGCUAAGGUGAGGUAGUUCUCUUACUAAAAUGUGACAUUUUGUGAGUGGAAAGUUGUGAAUAUGAUUGGUUAAACAUUAAUGCAACUUGCAAGAUUUAGAAAACUAUAUCGUGAAAUGCUUGUGAUCAUUAUUAAACUUUGUUUCACAUGUGAUAAGGUUUAAAGUUAUGUAUUAUGUAUAUCACCGUGGCUCGACACUUCAUAUGAGUAAGGUUAAGGGUAAGGCUUAUAGCACCAAGUCCCAAGUUCAGAAGUGAAUAUUCUAAUAUGUAUUGUUUUCCAUCGAUUAAUACUAAUAUUAAUAACAAGUAGUAUCCUUGUAUCGUGUAGUCAGCCAUUUUAAACAAAAAUCGUACUUGAAUGCGUAAUUCUUAGUUUAUAUGAAUAAAACAUGUUUUAUUAUUUAUUUAUUUUUUGUUUGAAUUUCAUUUCAGAUACCCCAGACACUGAUAAACACAUGUUGGCAAUACAAACAGGUCUUUCGCGAAACCAGGUGGGGGAUUAUUCCUUUCGAAUUCAUCAUUUUAUUUGUUGGUCUUUUUAUAUAUUCAGUUCAUUGAAUUUGUAAUCUACAAUGUUCAUAUGGUAGCUUUUUUGAAAGGGGGUCUAUUUGAUCAUAUGAUAGCUUUAAACAGUGUCAUAAAGUAAGCACUUUUAUUUUCAUAUUUUCAUCCUAUGCAAGGGAAUG